rnacentral:rRNA from 1 species
AGUGAACGCUGGCGGUAUGCCUAAUACAUGCAAGUCGAACGCUGAAGCACUCUGCUUGCAGAGUGUGGAUGAGUGGCGAACGGGUGAGUAACACGUGGGGAACCUGCCCAUAAGAGGGGGAUAACAUCCGGAAACGGGUGCUAAUACCGCAUAGGUGAUCAUAGCGCAUGCUUAGAUCAUUAAAGAUGGCUUCGGCUAUCGCUUAUGGAUGGCCCCGCGGCGUAUUAGCUAGUUGGUGAGGUAAUGGCUCACCAAGGCUGUGAUACGUAGCCGACCUGAGAGGGUGAUCGGCAACACUGGAACUGAGACACGGUCCAGACUCCUACGGGAGGCAGCAGUAGGGAAUCUUCCACAAUGGGCGAAAGCCUGAUGGAGCAAUACCGCGUGAGUGAAGAAGGUCUUCGGAUCGUAAAGCUCUGUUGUUAGAGAAGAACAAGAGGUGUAGUAACUGGCACCUCCUUGACGGUAUCUAACCAGAAAGUCACGGCUAACUACGUGCCAGCCGCCGCCGUAA